UUCUGGCACAAGGUGGAGAUGUGUUCUGAGCUGCCUUCUCCAGCUGCCCGGACUUCCCUGGCAUUGUGGAUAUCUAGCACUCAGGAACAAAAAUCCAAAAUAAAUUCUUUAAGUCACCUUUGGUCAUGGUGUUUUAUCACAACAGAAACACAACUGAUGGACCUCACCGCAUGAAUAGGAAAGGUGAAAGAUGAUUUUCAAGGCACAAGCUGGAAUUUUACUUUUCAAAUUACAACAGUUUUUCAGAAAAUAUUUUUAGCAGUCUGAAACAGGCCUGCUAACUCCUGAGCCACGAAAGCUUUCAAGAGAGAGUCUUCUGCCAGAGGAAUGAGCAGUAUAAGAAGAAUUUAUUGGGGAAAAACUCAAGAACUUAGCAGACUGCACAGUCAUGCCCUCAUUACCACUGUAAAAUCAUGUGUGGCUGUUCAAUAAAAAGAAGAGAAAGUACA